AACGAACGCUGGCGGCAGGCUUAACACAUGCAAGUCGAACGGAUCCUUCGGGAUUAGUGGCGCACGGGUGAGUAACACGUGGGAACGUACCCCUUGGUAAGGAAUAAUAUCUGGAAACGGAUACUAAUACCUUAUAAUGACUUCGGUCCAAAGAUUUAUCGCCAAGGGAUCGGCCCGCGUUAGAUUAGGUAGUUGGUGGGGUAAUGGCCUACCAAGCCUACGAUCUAUAGCUGGUCUGAGAGGAUGAUCAGCCACACUGGGACUGAGACACGGCCCAGACUCCUACGGGAGGCAGCAGUGAGGAAUAUUGGACAAUGGAGGAAACUCUGAUCCAGCCAUGCCGCGUGAGUGAAGAAGGCCUUAGGGUUGUAAAGCUCUUUCAAUAGUGAAGAUAAUGACGGUAGCUAUAGAAGAAGCCCCGGCUAAAUUCGUGCCAGCCGCCGCGGUAACAC
rnacentral:rRNA from 1 species